GACGAACGCUGGCGGCGUGCUUAACACAUGCAAGUCGAACGGAAAGGCCCUGCUUUUGUGGGGUGCUCGAGUGGCGAACAGGUGAGUAACACGUGAGUAACCUGCCCUUGACUUUGGGAUAACUUCAGGAAACUGGGGCUAAUACCGGAUAGGAGCUCCUGCUGCAUGGUGGGGGUUGGAAAGUUUCGGCGGUUGGGGAUGGACUCGCGGCUUAUCAGCUUGUUGGUGGGGUAGUGGCUUACCAAGGCUUUGACGGGUAGCCGGCCUGAGAGGGUGACCGGCCACAUGGGGACUGAGGUACGGCCCAGACUCCGACGGGAAGCAGCAGUGGGGAAUAUUGCACAAUGGGCGGAAGCCUGAUGCAGCAACGCCGCGUGCGGGAUGACGGCCUUCGGGUUGUAAACCGCUUUCGCCUGUGACGAAGCGUGAGUGACGGUAAUGGGUAAAGAAGCACCGGCUAACUACGUG
rnacentral:rRNA from 1 species